UAGGAGUUAGUUGGUCUUCACAAGUUGCUGAGCCACAAAGGAACUGGAAAUCACUGAAAUCGAAGAACACUAAUCAGAGUGGUUCUACAUAGGAUGCCACUGAUCCCUAAACUCUCACCAGUCAGCCAUCUGGGGCCGUCCUAAGGAGCAAACCAGAAGAUGGCCUGAAAGCACCCAGGGCUACGGCAGGCGAAUAGCGGCACAGAGAAAAGGGGCUUCUCUUGCCCUUCACCACCUGACCUGGAGCACAGCAAGCACAGUGUCGAUUUUCUUCCUAGUCUCAUGGUUUGUGUUCAGACACCUGAUGAUGGCCCAGCAGCUAAACGUGGGAUCUCUCAGGUGUGGUUGGCUAUUCUCAUGCUCUCCUCAUGAGAGGUUGGCCUCUUCUCAUGAUUCUAGGAGGUAACGAAUAGAUUCAUAGGAACAGGAGGCUCAUCUGUGUGUGAACAAGCAAACCCAGUACAGAGCUAUGACCGUCACUCCCCACGCUCCGACCAAACACCCUGGCUUCCCGUGGAGGGAGAUGCUGGCGUGGAAACUCCAAGUACAACCACCGCACUAAAACCGAGCUUCAGGAACUUAAGAGUCUCAGCGGAGUCUGCAGCUGAUAGACGUAC